AUUGAACGCUGGCGGCAGGCCUAAUACAUGCAAGUCGAACGGUAACAUAAGAAAAGCUUGCUUUUCUUGAUGACGAGUGGCGGACGGGUGAGUAAUAUUUGGGAAACUACCUGAUAGAGGGGGACAACAGUUGGAAACGACUGCUAAUACCGCAUACAGCCUCAGGGUGAAGGAAGCGAUUCGCUAUCAGAUGUGCCCAAACGGGAUUAGCUAGUAGGUGAGGUAAAGGCUCACCUAGGCGACGAUCUCUAGCUGGUCUGAGAGGAUGAUCAGCCACAUUGGGACUGAGACACGGCCCAGACUCCUACGGGAGGCAGCAGUAGGGAAUAUUGCACAAUGGAGGAAACUCUGAUGCAGCCAUGCCGCGUGUGUGAAGAAGGCCUUCGGGUUGUAAAGCACUUUCGGAGGGGAGGAAGAAAAUGACGUUACCCUCAGAAGAAGCACCGGCUAACUCCGUGCCAGCCGCCGCCGUAA
rnacentral:rRNA from 1 species